UAAAUAUUUAUCUUUUUACUUUUUUUUUUCUGACUUCUAAAAUUCUACAUUUUACUCUCUUAAAAUUUCAGAAAUAUUUUCAGGAGGAUAUGGUGUUAAUGGAGAGGACAGAAUGACCAAAUUAUUCUUAUUUUUAUUAAAAAAAUAAUUUUUUAAUAUAUUUUUAUUAUUUUGAAGGGUAUUUUCUGUAUAAAUUAUAAGAAAUGUACGGAACAACGAUAAAAACUUGACGAAGGGAGGCUGUAUGCAACAACUUGAAAUACU
rnacentral:lncRNA from 1 species